GAACUUAAGCAUAUCAAUAAGCGGAGGAAAAGAAACUAACAAGGAUUCCCUCAGUAACUGCGAGUGAAGUGGGAAAAGCUCAAAUUUGAAAUCUGGCAGCUCUUUCAGGUUGUCCGAGUUGUAAUCUAGAGAAGCGUUACCUGUGUUGGACCGUGUAAAAGUCUUCUGGAAUGGAGCAUCAUAGAGGGUGAGAAUCCCGUCUUUGACAUGGACUACCAGCAUGCCAAGGCGCACUCUCAAAGAGUCGAGUUGUUUGGGAAUGCAGCUCAAAAUGGGUGGUAAAUGCCAUCUAAAGCUAAAUAUUGGCGAGAGACCGAUAGUGAACAAGUACCGUGAGGGAAAGAUGAAAAGAACUUUGGAAAGAGAGUUAAACAGUACAUGAAAUUGCUGAAAGGGAAACGCUUAAAGUCAGUCGCAUUAGCUGGAAAUCAGGCUUGCUUUUGCAAGGUGCACUUUCUAGUUGAUGGGUCAGCAUCAAUUUUAAUCGUUGGAUAAAGUCAUUGGGAAUGUGGCAUCUUUGGAUGUGUUAUAGCCCAGUGUUGAAUACAGCGGUCAGGAUUGAGGAAUUCAGCAUGCCUCUAGGGGCCAGGUUUCGACCAUGUUCAUGCUUAGGAUGCUGGCAUAAUGGCUUUAAUCGACCCGUCUUGAAACACGGACCAAGGAGUCUAACAUGCCUGCGAGUGUUUGGGUGAAAAACCCAUACGCACAAUGAAAGUGAAAGUUGAGAUCCUUAGGGAGCAUUGACGCCCGGACCAGACCUUCUGUGACGGAUCCGCGGUAGAGCAUGUAUGUUGGGACCCGAAA
rnacentral:rRNA from 1 species